rnacentral:hammerhead_ribozyme from 1 species
CCACUACUGUGGUGUCCCACAAUAGGACGAAACAGCCGUCCAGUGC